rnacentral:rRNA from 1 species
UACGUAGGGUGCAAGCGUUAAUCGGAAUUACUGGGCGUAAAGCGUGCGCAGGCGGUCGUGCAAGACAGAUGUGAAAUCCCCGGGCUCAACCUGGGAACUGCAUUUGUGACUGCACGGCUGGAGUGCGGCAGAGGGGGAUGGAAUUCCGCGUGUAGCAGUGAAAUGCGUAGAGAUGCGGAGGAACACCGAUGGCGAAGGCAGCCCCCUGGGCUAGCACUGACGCUCAGGCACGAAAGCGUGGGGAGCAAACAGG